GAGCGGACCGAAGGGAGCUUGCUCCUUUAGGUUAGCGGCGGACGGGCUGAGUAACACGUGGGCAACCUGCCCUGCAGACUGGGAUAACUUCGGGAAACCGGAGCUAAUACCGGAUAACACCGAAAACCGCAUGGUUUUCGGUUGAAAGGCGGCUUUUAGCUGUCACUGCAGGAUGGGCCCGCGGCGCAUUAGCUAGUUGGUGAGGUAACGGCUCACCAAGGCGACGAUGCGUAGCCGACCUGAGAGGGUGACCGGCCACACUGGGACUGAGACACGGCCCAGACUCCUACGGGAGGCAGCAGUAGGGAAUCUUCCGCAAUGGACGAAAGUCUGACGGAGCAACGCCGCGUGAGCGAAGAAGGUCUUCGGAUCGUAAAGCUCUGUUGUCAGGGAAGAACAAGUACCGUUCGAACAGGGCGGUACCUUGACGGUACCUGACGAGGAAGCCACGGCUAACUACGUGCCAGCAGCCGCGGUAAU
rnacentral:rRNA from 1 species